rnacentral:rRNA from 1 species
UACGAAGGGGGCUAGCGUUGCUCGGAAUUACUGGGCGUAAAGCGCACGUAGGCGGCUCUUUAAGUCGGAGGUGAAAUCCUGGAGCUCAACUCCAGAACUGCCUUCGAUACUGUAGAGCUUGAGUUCGGGAGAGGUGAGUGGAACUGCGAGUGUAGAGGUGAAAUUCGUAGAUAUUCGCAAGAACACCAGUGGCGAAGGCAGCUCACUACCCAGAUAUUGACACUGAGGCACGAAAGCGUGGGGAUCAAACAGG